UCUUUAUAUAUAAGUACAUCACGUAUUCAUUUAGAUAUAGAAUCCAAGUCCAUUCUUCACACAUACACUUAUACUACACCAUGAAAAUGGUGACCUAUGAGAGCUAAAGAUUUCGGAUGAAUUAUUUCACGGCCUAUUGAGCCGACACCUAACAGAUUCCGCCGUCCAGUUUCUAUCCACUGUCAGUUGCAUCGACGACAAAGUUUUGUUCAGCAGUAUCGAGCUCCACUCUACAAUGAUAUGAAGUUGCUUUCUACAAAGAAACGCAUACAACUUUCUAAGAAACUAAUAUGUGGUACAAAUGGACUACACUACUUUUAUAAAAAAAGAUGCUCCGUAUUCAUAAUAACGGACAUAAAAUUUCUAGGUCGGUUGAACAAUUCGGAUCAUAAGAUAAGCUUGUAACAUCAUCUUCUUCAACUUGGUCACUGCAAGUAAGUUAUCGUCCACCGGAAAAUUUCGUUUCCGUCAACCGCAUUUCAUUUUCACCUUCGCUCAGGAGUAUCUUAACAUUUACGUAAGCUAUCUCCAAUAAAUAAAACGAAGACUAAAAAAAAUUGCACUUCGUCACAAAAAAGUUGAGGGGUAUCUCGUGCAAACCCUCCCCCACACAUAGAUCCGCACCUACUUGAAUAUUGGUUGAAAGUUAUCAAAUAUCCUUUAAUUAAUUUCUCUUUCUUUGUAUAUAGUUUUUUUUCGGGUUCUUAAAUUUUGUUUGAUCAAAUUUAAUGAUGUCCUUUAUUCUUCUAGGUGAUUUUAAUAAUAUAAAUAAUAAUCAAAUAUAUCCUUUGACGUUCUGUUUCAAUCUUGAUGUUUGAAUGAUUUGCAAACAAGGAGAGUACAAUUCCAAGUUUCUGAAACUGAAACCGGAUGAGAUCAAGGCCCUACAUUGAUGCUAACAGUAUUUAAUUUUACAGGGUACUCGACUAUACGUGCACGGUUGGCAACUACUUUGAAAAAGUGUGGGACCAGUUUGACACACCUUACUGUAUGUGUUAUGCAGCGGCACAAAUGGUGACCAUUCUUUAUCGUAUGCAUAGACCAGAAGAGUGCAAAAGUCUGAUUUUAUCACUUCAAACUUUGCUUAAUCUUGGUUGUCAAUAUGUAGAUAGACUUAGAGUCUUUCUUACCGAAAGUGAGUAUGGACUAUAUGACAUUGAAGCUCAACCAUUCCAUUAUCUCUGCGUGAAAAAACCCGAAUCAUUAGCCAAGUCCAACAAACCAUACUUGAUCAAAGACUUGGCGAUAUAUCGUACAAAGGAAACAAUCCUGAAAGUCCUUAUAAGUAAUUUUCGUGAACGUGGGCCACAAUACCCGAUGCUAGGGGCAUGCAACAUGCAUUGACUUACAACUGCUAAGGUGGCGGAUACAACUUCGAAGAAACCGUUUAUUAGAAAAGAGCCUCGACUGAAAAAGAAUUAUCCCCUUGAUCAUUCCGUGCUCAUCACGGAAAAUUAUGUUGCAUCUGUGAAUCCUACACGCGUAAAUGUACAAUUGAGAAACUCGUGGGCCAAUUGGGGAUUUAAAGGAACUGCAUGGGUCGGGAGUGACUUUUUCGAAGAGGUUUAUGUACCAAGUAUUUGAGGAGGUUGAUUUCUUUUAACUGAUGUUUAUUUUGUUUAAAGUAGACUUAGUUCUUGAUUUUAGUUAUGUUGCAUCUGUGAAUCCUACACGCGUGAAUGUACAAUUGAGAAACUCGUGGGGCGAUUGGGAUUUAAAGGAACUGCAUGGGUCGGGAGUGACUUUUUCGAAGAGGCUUAUGUACCAAGUAUUUGAGGAGGUUGAUUUCUUUUAAUUGAUGUUUAUUUUGUUUAAAGUAGCCUUAGUUCUCGAUUUUAGUUAUUGUUUACAGACAUUAUGUAAUGCAUUAGCAAACUUGGUGCUUUCUUUGUAAUGGGUUUAUUUAUUUUGUUCA